AUUGAACGCUGGCGGCAGGCCUAACACAUGCAAGUCGAGCGGAUGAAGGGAGCUUGCUCCUGGAUUCAGCGGCGGACGGGUGAGUAAUGCCUAGGAAUCUGCCUGGUAGUGGGGGAUAACGUCCGGAAACGGGCGCUAAUACCGCAUACGUCCUGAGGGAGAAAGUGGGGGAUCUUCGGACCUCACGCUAUCAGAUGAGCCUAGGUCGGAUUAGCUAGUUGGUGGGGUAAAGGCCUACCAAGGCGACGAUCCGUAACUGGUCUGAGAGGAUGAUCAGUCACACUGGAACUGAGACACGGUCCAGACUCCUACGGGAGGCAGCAGUGGGGAAUAUUGGACAAUGGGCGAAAGCCUGAUCCAGCCAUGCCGCGUGUGUGAAGGAGGUCUUCGGAUUGUAAAGCACUUUAAGUUGGGAGGAAGGGCAGUAAGUUAAUACCUUGCUGUUUUGACGUUACCAACAGAAUAAGCACCGGCUAACUUCGUA
rnacentral:rRNA from 1 species